GUGGAGACUUUGUGGCUGCUACCCACAACAACAAAUGUUUGUUCCCAUGGCAACAGCAGCUUAAACAUCAGAUCUUCUUGGUGGCCAGAUGAUGAGAGUUUUCAUCACUCCGACAUAGACACUCCCAUGUUUACAUCAGGGAAACGUCACAUAACACUUCUGCGGUAAUGACAGGGAAGCCAGCUUGUUCACUUUAUGGGCCACAGCAACAGGCCUGUUACAGAGAGCUGCAUUAAAUGGUACAUGAAAGUACUUUUUACGGUUUCCUGGCACAAAGCAGAAAAUGCCUAACUAGUUGGGCUGACCACAUUGCAGCUGAACGAGUUGCAGAAAACAACAAACAUAAACGAACAUUUCUAAAAGUCAAUUGUGCAAUUCUGUGAUUAAGUAUAGCACUUCCCUUCCAGCCUGGAAAAUCCAAGCCAAAACAGAUGCUUCCAAUGAUUUUCUGCGUAUCAUUUACCUAACUAAAAUGUGUGUACUGUACAUGUGGAGGACAGACUGUCUGAGCUGACCAAAUGGACGGGAAGAAAUCGAAGCAAAAAGUAGGGAAGAGGUGUCAAACUCCACAAGUCCGAGACAUUCCUGAGGGCCAAACUUGUGUAGGUUUGGUGAAGGUGUCAAGCCACCCAGGGCUAAUGGCGAUGCAGCUGUGGCAAUCUACACAAACACCUCUCAGGAAUUCUCAGGGUGGAUUACGAGGAAGGAUAAAGGAAGAGGAUGAAGUUAAGGAAUUCAGAACCUGGGUGUGAUAUUUAGCCAGGCAGUGUUAAACCAGCACAAAGUGAUUCCUGUAACACCUAUGAGAGGGUGUCUCUGAUUGAACAGUCCUCGUGUCUGGAAAUUUUAUGUUCAAGGUUCAACGUUCAAAAAUGUCUACAGUUUUCCUUAUUAAACCUUAACAUUAACCUUUUCUUGAACUAACCUUUAAGGAACAGUUCAAGGCUUUGGGAAAUAUGCUUAUUUGCUUUCUUCCUCAGAGCUAGAUAAAAAUGUCUGUGAGAGCGAGAAGGAAGUGGUUAGCUUAGCUUAGCAUAAAGCCUGUUGAAUGCAUACACAAGCAGAAAUAUCAAAUGUUUUAGGGGGAGUUACGUACUGCAACUAUUUGUUGGCAAACACACAGCAAGUCAAGGUGAUUAGGACACUCCAGUAAGUCACUGCACACGGCCUUUGUUCGCUAAGAAAUAGUUGAGCACAGGAAACUCCCUCUAAAACCUAAAAUUGUGGCUUUUAGGCUGUGACAUUAGCUCUGCGUGACAAAACAUAGCCCUCUCAUUCAUUUGAAUGUGGGCAGUGCAUUGACAUCGUGGGAGCGCCAACGCAGAGGGCUCCGGAAA